rnacentral:rRNA from 1 species
GACAGAGGGUGCAAACGUUGUUCGGAAUUACUGGGCGUAAAGCGCGUGUAGGCUGCUUGGAAAGUCGGAUGUGAAAGCCCUGGGCUCAACCUAGGAAGUGCAUUCGAAACUUCUGAGCUGGAGUGCUGGAGAGGAAGGCGGAAUUCUCGGUGUAGAGGUGAAAUUCGUAGAUAUCGAGAGGAACACCGGUGGCGAAGGCGGCCUUCUGGACAGCCACUGACGCUGAGACGCGAAAGCGUGGGGAGCAAACAGG